rnacentral:rRNA from 1 species
UACGUAGGGGGCAAGCGUUGUCCGGAUUUAUUGGGCGUAAAGAGCUCGUAGGCGGUUGGGCAAGUCACGUGUGAAAUCUCCACGCUCAACGUGGAGGCGCCACGUGAGACUGCCCUGACUCGAGUCCGGUAGGGGAGCGUGGAAUUCCCGGUGGAGCGGUGAAAUGCGUUGAUAUCGGAAGGAACGCCGGUGGCGAAAGCGGUCCGCUGGGUCCCCCACUGACGCUGAGGCGCGAAAGCCAGGGGAGCAAACGGG